rnacentral:rRNA from 1 species
GAUGAACGCUGGCGGCGUGCCUAAUACAUGCAAGUCGAGCGAACGGACGAGAAGCUUGCUUUUCUGAUGUUAGCGGCGUACGGGUGAGUAACACGUGGAUAACCUACCUAUAAGACUGGGAUAACUUCGGGAAACCGGAGCUAAUACCGGAUAAUAUUUUGAACCGCAUGGUUCAAAAGUGAAAUACGGUCUUGCUGUCACUUAUAGAUGCAUCCGCGCUGCAUUAGCUAGUUGGUAAGUUAACGGCUUACCAAGGCAACGAUGCAUAGCCGACCUGAUAGAGUGAUAGGCGACAUUGGAGCUGAGCCACGCACCAGACUACUACGGGAGGCAGCAGUCGCGAAUGUUAGGCAAUGGUGGAGAGCAUGACGGAGCAACGCGGCGUCAGAGAUGACGGUCUCCCGAGCGUAAAACUCUGUUAUUAGGUAAGAACAUAUGUGUCAUUAACUGAGCACAUCUUGACGGUACCUAAUCAGAAAGCAACGGCUAACUACGUG